UACGUAGGGGGCAAGCGUUGUCCGGAAUUAUUGGGCGUAAAGCGCGCGCAGGCGGCGGUGCAAGUCUCGUGUUUAAGCCCAGGGCUCAACCCUGGUACGCACGGGAAACUGGAUCGCUUGAGUGCAGGAGAGGGGAGCGGAAUUCCACGUGUAGCGGUGAAAUGCGUAGAGAUGUGGAAGAACACCAGUGGCGAAGGCGGCUCUCUGGCCUGUAACUGACGCUGAGGCGCGAAAGCGUGGGGAGCGAACAGG
rnacentral:misc_RNA from 1 species